rnacentral:rRNA from 1 species
AGAGAGAGACAUGCGCGCAUAUCAAUAAGCGGAGGAAAAGAAACUAACAAGGAUUCCCCUAGUAACGGCGAGUGAAGCGGGAAGAGCUCAAAUUUGAAAUCUUAAAGGGUUUCCCUUUACGAAUUGUAGUUUAAAGAAGUGUUUUCUGUUGAGGUUUUGGUAAAAGUUCUUUGGAAUAGGACAUCAUAGAGGGUGAGAAUCCCGUAUUUGACCAUUACUUUCCACUUUGUGAUACACUUUCAAAGAGUCGGAUUGUUUGGGAAUGCAGUCCAAAAUGGGUGGUAAAUUUCAUCUAAAGCUAAAUAUUGGCGAGAGACCGAUAGCGAACAAGUACCGUGAGGGAAAGAUGAAAAGAACUUUGAAAAGAGAGUUAAACAGUACGUGAAAUUGUCAAAAGGGAAGCGUUUGACACCAGUGUUGUUUUUCUGAAAAUCAAUUAAAGAACUGUUUAUGCUAAGCUGUUUAGACUUUAUCAGCUAAUCUGUUUAGUUUUGAGCUUUUCUUUAAUGCACUUUUCAGUUAACAAGUCGACAUCAAUUUCUUUUGCUGUAAAAAAGCUUGAGGAAGGUGGCUUGAGAUUCGUCUUAAGUGUUUAUAGCCUCUUGCCUAUGCAGUCGGAGAGAUUGAGGUCUGCAGCGUAGAUCCUUCGGGGCUAAAUGCAUUUGUGCUAAGUUAUAGCAUUUUAUAGACAACUUGUUGACUAUGAUUUGUCUUGUAGCUUACUCGCUUAUGUUAUUUUACCUACGCUUAGGAUGUUGAGCGCAUGUCUCUCUCU